AACGAACGCUGGCGGCAGGCUUAACACAUGCAAGUCGAGCGCCUCGCAAGAGGAGCGGCAGCCGGGUGAGUAACGCGUGGGAACGUACCCUUAUCUUCGGAAUAGCUCUGGGAAACUGGAAGUAAUACCGAAUGUGCCCUUAGGGGGAAAGAUUUAUCGGAUAAGGAUCGGCCCGCGUUGGAUUAGCUAGUUGGUGGGGUAAAGGCCUACCAAGGCGACGAUCCAUAGCUGGUCUGAGAGGAUGAUCAGCCACAUUGGGACUGAGACACGGCCCAAACUCCUACGGGAGGCAGCAGUGGGGAAUAUUGGACAAUGGGCGCAAGCCUGAUCCAGCCAUGCCGCGUGAGUGAUGAAGGCCUUAGGGUUGUAAAGCUCUUUCAACGGAGAAGAUAAUGACGGUAUCCGGAGAAGAAGCCCCGGCUAACUUCGUG
rnacentral:rRNA from 1 species